rnacentral:misc_RNA from 1 species
AAAAAAAAAAAAAAAAAGGAGUUCAAAUAAAUAUGCAGUUUGGUUCUUUAUUUCGGCCAAACCUAUUAAAAUUUUAAUUCAAAUCUAAAAUUUUUUUAAAAAAUCAAACCUAAUGCUGCUGCGGUUUGAUUCGGUUCACCUAAGAAAUUCUAUAAGUACUCGGAUAAACUAUUCGGUUCACCUCAUAUAUUCAACUAAAUGUGUUGAAAAAUAAUAAUAAAAUGAAUCGAACCACUUUGGUUUUCUGGUUCGAUUCAUUUAAUUAUUUUUUGAUUUUCUGAAUUCUCAUAAUCGAUUAGGAUAACCAUAAAUAUUCAAUUAUUUUAAUUUCUUUUAUUUUUGUUUGAACUAUCAACUUAAUAAUAUUCAUUUAUAUUAUAUAUUCUCUACAUUCUUUAUUAUAA